rnacentral:tRNA from 1 species
GCCCCUGUAGUUCAAGGGAUAGAACAAGCCCCUCCUAAGGGCUAGAUCUCCGUUCGAUUCGGGGCAGGGGCA